rnacentral:rRNA from 1 species
AGAGUUUGAUCCUGGCUCAGAGCGAACGCUGGCGGCGUGCUUAACACAUGCAAGUCGAGUGCACGGUAGCAAUACUGGUGCACGGCGCACGGGUGAGUAACACGUGGGCAACCUGCCCUCCAAAGGGGGAUAACCCGCCGAAAGGCGGGCUAAUACCGCAUGACAUUCCGGGGUCUUCGGAUCCUGGAUUCAAAGGUCGA